UACGGAGGGGACUAGAGUUGUUCGGAAUUACUGGGCGUAAAGCGCACGUAGGCGGAUUUGUAAGUCAGGGGUGAAAUCCCGGGGCUCAACCUCGGAACUGCCUUUGAUACUGCAAAUCUCGAGUCCGGAAGAGGUGAGUGGAAUUCCUAGUGUAGAGGUGAAAUUCGUAGAUAUUAGGAAGAACACCAGUGGCGAAGGCGGCUCACUGGUCCGGUACUGACGCUGAGGUGCGAAAGCGUGGGGAGCAAACAGG
rnacentral:rRNA from 1 species